CGGCGAGCGAACGGGGAGGAGCCCAGAGCCUGAAUCAGUGUGUGUGUUAGUGGAAGCGUCUGGAAAGGCGCGCGAUACAGGGUGACAGCCCCGUACACAAAAAUGCACAUGCUGUGAGCUCGAUGAGUAGGGCGGGACACGUGGUAUCCUGUCUGAAUAUGGGGGGACCAUCCUCCAAGGCUAAAUACUCCUGACUGACCGAUAGUGAACCAGUACCGUGAGGGAAAGGCGAAAAGAACCCCGGCGAGGGGAGUGAAAAAGAACCUGAAACCGUGUACGUACAAGCAGUGGGAGCACAGAGCAAUCUGUGUGACUGCGUACCUUUUGUAUAAUGGGUCAGCGACUUAUAUUCUGUAGCAAGGUUAACCGAAUAGGGGAGCCGAAGGGAAACCGAGUCUUAACUGGGCGUUAAGUUGCAGGGUAUAGACCCGAAACCCGGUGAUCUAGCCAUGGGCAGGUUGAAGGUUGGGUAACACUAACUGGAGGACCGAACCGACUAAUGUUGAAAAAUUAGCGGAUGACUUGUGGCUGGGGGUGAAAGGCCAAUCAAACCGGGAGAUAGCUGGUUCUCCCCGAAAGCUAUUUAGGUAGCGCCUCGUGAAUUCAUCUCCGGGGGUAGAGCACUGUUUCGGCAAGGGGGUCAUCCCGACUUACCAACCCGAUGCAAACUGCGAAUACCGGAGAAUGUUAUCACGGGAGACACACGGCGGGUGCUAACGUCCGUCGUGAAGAGGGAAACAACCCAGACCGCCAGCUAAGGUCCCAAAGUCAUGGUUAAGUGGGAAACGAUGUGGGAAGGCCCAGACAGCCAGGAUGUUGGCUUAGAAGCAGCCAUCAUUUAAAGAAAGCGUAAUAGCUCACUGGUCGAGUCGGCCUGCGCGGAAGAUGUAACGGGGCUAAACCAUGCACCGAAGCUGCGGCAGCGACGCUUAUGCGUUGUUGGGUA
rnacentral:rRNA from 1 species